rnacentral:rRNA from 1 species
AGCGGCGGACGGGUGAGUAACACGUGGGUAACCUGCCCAUAAGACUGGGAUAACUCCGGGAAACCGGGGCAAAUACCGGAUAACAUUUUGAACUGCAUGGUUCGAAAUUGAAAGGCGGCUUCGGCUGUCACUUAUGGAUGGACCCGCGUCGCAUUAGCUAGUUGGUGAGGUAACGGCUCACCAAGGCAACGAUGCGUAACCCACCUGAGAGGGUGAUCGG